GUCACUUUGUGAAACAAUUAACAUAAGCUCUGUAGAGCAUUUGAUUGACCCUAUUUUUUUUAAGAACAGUUAAAACCAAUUAUACCUUACCCCGAGCAAUUUUCUUGUACCCAUUUACAACUGGGUUAACUGAGGCAAUUGUGAUAAUGUGCCUUGGCCGACGACACACCGUAAUGGGAGUAGCCAGGAUUCGAACCAGGGGCCUUCACCUCCGUAGGAAAGCGCCUUAGCCCUCUCAACCAAUGCAGCCACCAAAGCAGUUGCUUUUGGACAGUGUAAGAUUCAGCCAGAUUAAGAAAUAAGUUAACUAUUAGACAGACAUAUUGAUUUUGCUGAAUGCCAACCUACUUCCAUUUUCAAUGAUGGCAAAAUUAAUGUUGAAGAAUUAAUCCAGGAAUCCAUGACACUUUUCUCAGAAAUCUAUAUCUUAAGAUCAUCUUGCAUCCCAGGGCAUGAGUUUUUUAAGAUCAGUAAUAGUCCAUUUUUUUUCAGGUGUGCUGUAUGUGACCUAGACUCGCCUUGCUGCAACCUUGACACUCCUUACUGCAACCUUUACACCCCUUGCUGCGACCUUGACACUCCUGCAAAGUUGUUUCCCUGCAUGUAUCCAGACACAUGAAGGGCUGGUGGCUAUGUUAUUAUACUGAUGCUAAUCCAUAUUUUGUUUACAAUACUUACCUCCUUAUACGAGUUCAAUGUAUUUGGAUAUGUUCAUCCAAAAGAGUGUGAUUCAAAUGAUUAAAAAAUGGGUUUCUUGCAGCUUUAUCUGGCACCACUAAUGUCAACUAGAUUCUACUUUGACAAUAAAUAAAUUAUAAUUCAUAUUCUAAUCUUCCAGACUGAAGUGUUUACAUAUUUAUAUGUCACUAUGUUCUGGUGUGUUUGUUUCAGUGCCAUCAUGUAGGUGAUAUGUACUAUAUUUAAAAACUGCAUAUAUAAACUUUGAAUGAAGAUUUUACAUCUGAUUUCUAAAUCCGACCUUAGAUUUUAUUAGAAAUAACAUUUUCACAGCAGUAACUACUUAAUACUU
rnacentral:lncRNA from 1 species